GUCGAGACUAGAGACUCGAGACUAGAGACUCUCUAUAAACACCUAAAAUCCCUAGACCUGGAAAACAAAAAUAUCUUCAUCGCCUCUCGAAAAACCUAGCGCAGCAGUCGCCAUGGACGAAUCCGCCAAGAAAGGUCUGGAAUUGAACGGUAGUGAUGCAGAGAUUCGAAAAAGCAGCAUUAGGAGAAUUUCCGUUGAAGGAUACGACACCUCCCUUCGUCUGGAGGAUGUCGAUGAGGCUUUGAGAGAACAUUUUGCUUCAUGUGGAAAAAUAAUUCAUGUUUCUAUUCCCAGAAACAGUGACUGGACGAUUCUCUGCCAAUACGCCUUCGUUUAUUUUAAUGAUGAAGAUGAAGAAAAGGCGUUGAGGCUUGAUGGAAGUGACAUGGGAGGACGGAUUUUGCAAAUCAAGUCUUACCCGUUUCACGCAACUUACCUUAAUCAUGUCUUGGACCCGAUGAAAGAAGGACUCCUUAAGUACCAACACACGGCCAAGGUUACGGGAUAUGACAAUUCCCUUUCUCUCGAUGCUGUCCAGAAGGAGAUAGAAGAAUAUUUCUCUGCAUGUGGUUCUUUUGUUUACCCCCACAAAACCUCUGCUCGUACUACCAAAAUCAAACUUAUAUUUAUCUCAAUGGUCAAGAGGCUGUAGACAAGGCUCUGGAACGUAGUGGAGGCUUGAAUCUUGUAGUUACUAAGGUUGAGCCAAUUCCAAAAACCCCAGAGAAGUCUGGCUACAUUCCCCCACGUAUCUACGCUCGCUUCAAGGAGCAGAUAGAUGAUCCUAAACUAUAUUUCAUUAUUGAUCCUAAGAGUGAGACUUCGGAGGGAAAUCAGAAGAAGAAGAAAAAGACUAAGACCAGGGAGGGAAAUCAGAAGAAGAGGAGUGAGACUACGGAGGGAAAUCAGAAGAAGAAGGGCAAGACCAAGGAGGGAAAUCAGAAGAAGAAGGAGGGAAAUCAGAAGGGAGUAGAAAUCUCUUUCUGAGGAGAAGACAUAUGCUUUUUGUGAUAUAACUUGUGUGCAAUGCGACCCUUCUUUUCUUGUCUGGAUACUUAAAUGUUUUAUGCUUGUAUUUGUGUUGGAUCUUUAACAACCUAAGACGGAUCAGAUUUAAAACC